rnacentral:lncRNA from 1 species
CUUCUAAGAACAGUAACACGUUCAGCAUUCCUGGCAGGACCAGAUCCUCAUGGAACCUAUUCACCCUGGCUCUCCUUUGCCUUUGUGAAGGUGGCUUAAAGAUUUAAAAUAAAAUUAUAAACCACACCACUAAAAACAACAGAGUUAAUGAUAGAACCUCACACCACACCCCUUUCUAUGCUAGGAUUUUAUUUUGUUUUAUUUUGCCUGGCUUGAGCUUGUUGUACUAAAACUUAGAAUUGAUUUCCUGUGGUGUGUUUAUGAAGACUGUAACUGAAGAUUUUAGGAAAAGCAGUGUAAAAUGUUCAGAGAACAUCCACUGGUCUUGGGGUACCACUAACUGACUUUCGAAUACAGGUAA